rnacentral:tRNA from 1 species
GGGGGCUUAGCUCAGUUGGUAGAGCGCGACAAUGGCAUUGUCGAGGUCAGGGGUUCGACCCCCCUAGCCUCCACCA